GGAAAAAAAAAAAAAAAACAGCGGAAUUUGGUUCCGCAGACAUCUCACUGUUCAUAUCAAAUUUCUUGCUGUAAUUGACUAGAUUACGUAAAAUUGAAAAUUUUAAAUCAUACUAGACACAAUAAAGAUUAAAAACCCUAAUUAUUGAACUCAUUUUGUUCAAAAUAUGCCGUGAAAUAAAUCAAAUGGCGGAAAAAAAAAAAAACCCAAAGUUCUUACCUGUUUUUGUGAACCGAAGCCUUCAAUCUCCAAAAAACUCUAGUUUUUCUCAACGAUUAUCACAAAUUAGUAACAAACGGUUUUGAUUCACAGCUUUAAGAUCAAAAUGCCUACAAAUUUUGAAAGAUUCAUGCCCUAUUUGGCAUGAAAUUUCAGAAAAGGCGGAAACCCUAAACCCCGAAAUUUUCGUGAUCCAAAAACAACCAAUUUUUCCACCAUUUAAUUCUUGAAAAAGCUGAAUAAAGCUGUUUACAGCCUGCAAAUCAGAUCACAUGCCAAAAAAAACAAAAAAAAUGAUCAAAAAAUGACAAAU
rnacentral:lncRNA from 1 species